rnacentral:rRNA from 1 species
CGACCGCGACCCCAGGUCAGGCGGGACUACCCGCU